rnacentral:tRNA from 1 species
GGCUGGGUAGCUCAGUGGAUUGAGAGCCAAGCCUAGAGGUGGGAGGUUCUAGGUUCGAAUCCAGCCUCAGCCA